rnacentral:snoRNA from 1 species
AUAACAUAAAAUGUAUAGAAAAAAUUAUUGUGUUAACAUCAGCUUUGUCUUUCGUUUCGUCCUUGAGAUUUGAGUCAAACUAAAACACUACACUA